GCGAGUUAGGUUGCGCCGCAUGACCCAUAUUCCCGUUUAGUUUUGGGGAAAAAAGGAGACAUUUGGAUACGCCGCCAUCUUGUUACCGGGCAACCCGGAGGGCGGAGCGGGACAGAGGAGAACGGGAAGAUAAAGGAGCCGGGAUGGCCGCAGCUGCUCAUCAAGAGAUGGCGUCCGAUGUCUCACCCCUGGGAGUGGCCUCAGGAAACCCAGGUUCCAGCACUCAGGCCGGAGGGUCCAUGGCGCAGAGAGGAAACAAGCGCCGCUCUUCUGGGUUGGAUUUUGACGAUGAUGACGACGAUGAUGAUUCCGGACAGAAAUUCCUCAGGU